rnacentral:misc_RNA from 1 species
GGCUCAAGGAGCUCGACGGCCUCGUCAACACCUCGGCGCGCUAUGCCGAGGUCGCCAUCCGCGCCGCGGUCAGCGCGGCGCAGGAGGAGCGCGACGAGAUGGGGCUGCUGCUCGAACACGCGCGCGAUCUGUCGAAGCAGAUGGCGCUGGCGGGCGCGCCGGCCCAGUUCCCGUUGCCGAUCGACGAGCUCGAAGGGGAGUUGUGGCUCGAGGUCGAUCGCUAUGCCGAGGCGCGCGAUGCCUACCAGCGCGCCACCACGCUGCAGCCGACGCCGAAUGCCUGGGUCGGCCUGGCCCGCGCCAGCGACAAGCUGGGCGACACCGUCACCGCGUGCGCGGCGUAUACGCGGGUGGCUGGAAUGCCGGGACUGCCGCCCACCGUCGAGCU